rnacentral:lncRNA from 1 species
GCGGGACCGCUGCCGCCGCUGCCGCCGCUCCGGUGCCGGGUCCGGUUCCUGCUGCAGCCGCUGAGCCUGAUUUCAGAGCCGGUUUCUGCGGUGGGCCUGCCGAGAUCGCUGCCACUGGCUCACCCCAAUGCCAGGGGGUCCCUAGUCCAAGCACACAGCAUUGAAUGAAAAGGAGUCACAGGCAGCACGGAGCAAUCCAGGGUUUGGCAGUCAUCUCCCUUCUUCCCUGCUCUCAUCUCCCACUGAAAUGCAGACAUUGAAGACGACCCUUGAUGCUCACCUUUUAUGACAGCUAAUAAGUGGUAUUAAGAGUCCAGGUUCCUCAGCUGGAUCACAUCUGGUUUUUGCCAAUCUUGACACCCCAGUUUCCACCAUUUCUGUACCAACAUGAACCCUGAACAGCCACGCACUUUCAUGUCUCCAUGGCUUUCCAUGUACUAUCCCCUUCCUCCUGGAGUGUCUCCUGCUCCUGGAUUGCCUAGAAGCUCCUAUUCAUCCCUCAAAACCUAUCAUCUUAUGGGACAGACUUUCCUCAGUUCCUCUCUUCCUCCUCUAGAUAGAUUUCAUUGCUCCCUCCCAAACCAGGUAUAAUCCCAGUACUCUGGGAGGCUGGGGCAAGAGGAGCCCAAAUUCCAGCCUAGACCAAGAGAGUAUGUAAAGGUGCAUAUCUCCAAUGAUGAAUGUCAUUAUAUUAUACACCUAAAAUGUACCAAUAAAAGGAUAUACAAAAAAAAGAGAGAGAAUCCCUGGGCCCCCUGCUCAAGGAAGACCCAGUAGGAAAUUUGUUCCCAAGGAUUCUUUCCACUCUGCUCAUCCAUCAAGGCUCUCAGAGAUUGCUGCAGCCAGGGUCCAAGAGGGUCUGGCUACUGGCAGCAGUCCUUUGAGACAUUCCCAUGGUGGUAGUUUUACUGAUAUGCAGAAUGAAGAGUUGUGCAAUUAAACAGGCUUCUACUCAGACUUCAGAGGAAGGCCGGGGAGGUCAGUCAAUGAGCUCCUGAGAGGGCAGUGCAUGCAGCUGUGGGAAUGAAGCUGAAGGUGCAAUGGAGAACCCAGGAAGUUGGAGGUGCUACAAAUAUGGAAUGUCUGCCAAGACAAGC